GGAUCGAUGAUGACUUAAAAAAAUGGAAACCUUGGAAAUCUGAACAAAAUGAGUGACCAAGACACUUCUGUGAGCUGAGGUCCAGCACAGGGACCAUACCAGGCAAACCCGUGGAGGGCGUUCAGUUUGGUCAGGAACUGGUACCAAAACGAACCCACUUGCAUAUGUUAGAGCAGAUGAAUUGUACAGAGGCCUAUAUAUCUUCGGGAAUUACAUGACAAUGAUUUAAGUGCAUGGCUGACAGCCUUCAAACACCUAGUAAUCAGGCUUUGGGGUACCAGCGUCAGAGGAGUGAACACUGUAGAAAUGGCUGUGCCAGCACUCGAGUCAUUCACACUAUUUUCGUAGACGCCACAACAUUCUUAAACGGAAGUGAUUUUGGAAUUGCAUGGAAUUCUCACUGCCAUCCCAAAGAAAUGCUGAUCUUGUCACUCUUACCUGUUUCAUUCCCUGGGGGCAGAACAAAAGGACGCACUCCAAAGAUCGGCAUGAACCAAGAACUGGGUUUCAUAUAAAAUAUUUUAUUCUGUCCUCUUGAGAUGUGACAUGAGAAAAGUAUUGAGAAUACUUCUAUCACCUCAUCUUCAAGAAUCCGUAGGAAUUCUCCCAUGGUGGACUUUACGGUUAACCUGAACAGGUCUUGGAAAAAGGACUUUAAACAUUCUCCUGUUCUGUGGAAUAAGUAUACUUUUUUCUGGACAUACACCUUGUCAGUGAGUUCCAUGUGAUACUAGAGUUGCAUAGAUUUUUAACCUUUACGCCAAUGAAGAUCUGAGGCAAACAUUGCCCCUUUUUUAGAAGUUUGCAUUUGUCACUGAUAACUGUAAUAAUUGAUCUUGUUGAAAAGCCUGGGAAAUGAAGAUCUGAUAUGUCACUUUUACCGGCUUCCUCAACUGAAAAAGAAUACAAUGAAACACGCUGAGAAUUUUUGUGCUUUCUCAGUCUUGCUGAUGAUCUUUCUAUGGGCCUGAAGCGUGGAGAGUGCCAGAGAGGCUGAUCCUCAGCAGUGUGGCAGAGGAAAGUUGGGUGCGACUAAGGGAUUGGAAGUGAUAUUGGUGGAAGACAACAUUUUGCCGCUUGGAAUUCUCACCUCCACACCAAAGAAGUACUGUUUUUGUCAUUUGCACCAGCUUCUUUCUCCAGGAAAGAUCAAAACGAUGCACUGCAAGUGUGAUUGGUCCAGAUAGCUGCCUUAUCCAACUGCCUCCUUUGGACCACUUCAUCAUGGGACAGCUUGAUGCAAUCUACUUGACAAGACCCUGGAACCCCACACCCCUCAUGGAACCAGUGUCCACCUCCCAGUCACAGUGUGACCCCAGGGAACUCUUGCCUGCUUGCUUUAAACCCACCACUUAAAAGUCUCCACAGAAAACCUGUUUGAAUAGUACCCUUGACCCAAUAAGGGCAUUGGCCCCUGGGUGUCUCUCUCUCUCUCUCUCUCUCUCUCUCCCUCUCUCUCCCUCUCUCUCUCUCGCUCCCUGACCUCUGCGUGUGGACUCCAGGCAUGCCAUAUACCCCUCAGGACCUGAAGCAAAAGAAUGAAUUAAAGAAAACUCCAGAGAAUGAGCUGACAACCUACUCCCUGGUCAGUGGCUCUCCAUGCCUACCUGUGGUCUCUUGGACACCCUUGCAGAAGAUGACUUCCUGGGAACUCUUCUGGGAGUGAAUGUUAUCAGCAAAUUCCCAAAACAACACCCCUUAGACAAAAAGCCUCCUCACCUAUGCAUUGCCUAGACCACCCACUAAAGGUGAUGGCCACAAAGAGGUGGAUUUGUUGAGUUGGUGCCAUUCCUUCUACUGCCAGCUUCACCAAAACAAUGACACAGUCUUCCUUCCGCAUGGAGACUCUUCUCUUUCCUGUGUUGCAGUGGAUGCCUCCUGCAGAUAAGAAAUGCUUAACUGAGAAAUGCUCAUGUUGGGAUAUCAUCGAUGAGACUUUAAUUUGGGCAUGGUGACUGUUUCCCUUGCUGCCACUUGACUCAAUCCCAGGAGCCUCAGUAGAGGAUAUAAUAUUACACAAGAUGCUCAAAAUGGUGGAAUUGCUCAGUGCUCCCAUAAAUAUACAUUUAUAAUUUUCAUUUGCCACAUGGUAAACUGAAAAAUACAGACUAUAUUAAAAAGAAACUGCAUGAUUUUUUUUCAAAAAUUCAAAGCAUAUUUAAAUAAUAUAUAAAUUAAAUGCCCUCCUCUCUUCCAAUUCUGUCCCUAUAGUUUUCCUCUAUUAAGUGAACUACAUGCAUUCUUUUAGUGGAUAGAUGCACACAAACACACAAGCCAUUAUGGGGAAGGAUCCACGUGUGUGGCCAUAUUGUAACACAUUUUUCUGCAAAUCACCUCUUUCAUUUAACAGCCCUUAUUCAAUGGCCUUUUUCUUUUUCAGUAGUACAUACACAUCUGUGUCAUUUGUUGAAUGACGACAUGAAUGUUUUGUAGAUAAAAUAUAAUUAAAUGUUUUAAGCAUUUCUCACUCAUAGAUAUUUAUGUUAGCACCAAAUUUCUGUGCAAUGAACCUCCCUAUAUAUCAGUAAUUUUGCAUUUGUCUAUAAUAUCAUAAUAAAUUACUUAUCAGUUGAAUUACUGGGAUUAAGUAUGUGCACACUUUAUAUUUAUAUUUUGAAAAUUAUUGCAAGAUUGCCUUCAAAAAUGUGGUUAACAACUUUAUCUUCAAAUGGCAAUGAAUGAGAUUGCCAGCUUUCCUACAGCCUCACAGACAAUGGAUUUUAUAAAUAUUUAACAUUUUUGCCAAUGUGAUCACCCAAACUAUUGUCUUAAAUUGUAUCUCUUUUGUUUUUGAGUUUGGUCAUUUUUUCAUGUUUAUUAGCCAUCUGUAUUUUUUAAUUUCUUCUUUAUGUCCAAUUUUGUGGGUGGGAGGAGGAUUUAGUCUCUUCCUGAUUUCGAAGAGCUCAUUUACUAUUUCGGGAAAUAAGAUUUGGAUUGUCAACCAUUAUAGCUAUUUUUUACACACUUUUCAACUUUGUUUUUGUUAUAAGAAUGUGUAUGAUUGUUACAUGUCCAAGUAUAACCAUGUUCGCUUUUAUGGCUUCUGAGUUUCAUGUCAUUUUUGGAAAGAUAUAUAUAUUGAGUCCAUAAAACCCUUCACCUAUGUUAAAUUCUAAUUCUUUUGUGUUUUUUUAAUUCAAAUUCUUAAAUCAUGAGAAAUUUUUUUGUUUUGAAAUCUUAAAGUUGCCAAGUUACUUGCCAUUACUUGCGAUUAUUUGCCAAUAAUUGCCCAUUUAUCUGUACCGCCAUCUUGCGCAUAUGCUGUACUCUCAUCUGUGACUGGCUCCAUUUUUGUUCUGUGGAUUUGUGUGUCUCUUCUUCUGCCUCCUGUCUCGUGUCUGCUCGUUGGAAGAAAUUACAGUUUAGACUGCAAUUUCAUCAACUUUAAUAAAUCAAUUGAGGGGAGAAUUGGUUUUUAAAAAUAUUAAGUAAGUCUUCGUAUCCAAGGACAAGGUAUGUCUUUUCUUAUUCAAUAAUUUUAAUUACUGUUAAUAUUUUCACUGUGGUGAUGGGAGUUUUUCUUUUAAUUUAUUUUCUUGUUCAUUUUUUGUAUCUAAAGUUUUUGUUUUGUUUUGUUUUGGGGGUAAGUUGUCACCUUACUGUUUCUUGUUGCUUUUCAGAUUUUUUCAAAGUAUAGACUAAAUCCUUCACAAAUAUUUAAAGUUUUUAUUUUCCCCCUUCAUAUUGAUCCUGAUUUUAGUUAUGUUGACAAAGUCCACAGACUGUUACUAUCAGAACACUUGAACAGUUAUGGAAAUAUUACCUACCCUUGAUUUAAUCAGAGUUUAAUGGUAUGCUUCUUUGGUUUGACUGGCACAUUGUCGCUGGUCAUUUCCUCCCAAAGACCACCAGAAAGAGCUAUGAUCAAGCAAAGCUGAGUUUGUUAAACUUACCUGCAGCAAGGGAAAACACCACCUUGAUAGGGUUUAAUAAUGUUUCAAAAUCAAGAAAUGAGGCUUUGGGGUCUGGGCAGGGAACUAAUUAGAAAUGGGCAAAAUUUGUCAUGCAAUACCUUGUGGGAAAGUGAGAUGAGGUUCUUAAUGUGAGUAUUGAUGGUGAAAUCAUUUUCUAGGUGAGCUGUUUGCCUAUAUAAAGAUGUUAUCAAUGACAGAAGAACUAUUUGCCUAGAUAAACAAACUGAAUUUAUUUAUUGGUUUACAGUUUUAUCUUGCUGGGCAGGACUCUGCUGGGGGUGGUAUCAGGUCUUAUUCCCAAUAGGUAAGUUAUUUGGAUAUGGGUGGUCUUAAUCAUCAAUGUGUAAAAUGCUGAUUUUAAGUGCGAAAUACUUUGUCUACCAUGUUAGGAAAGUCUGCCACCUUUUAUCUUUUUUAAGGAAUUUUAAUCAAAACCAGGUGGUAGAUAUAAUCAAAUUGUUUUGCAGAAUCAAUUUUCCUGUUCUCUUUAAAGACUUUUAUCACUGUGAAUUAAUUUACUAUUAUUGCAACUUCCUUUAAUUCCUUGAAUGAACAGACCCUACUGGUUUUAAAAAUGUUUUAUUCUUUUAAUUUACUACUUAAUUGUGGGUAUUUUAAUUUGAUUUGGAAUUUUUACAAGUAUACAACUAAGUGAAAUUGAUCUGUGAUUUUUCUUUUUUGUGCUAUUUUUGUCAUGUUUUGAUAUCAGAUAUUCUGGUUGUGUUAAAAUAAUUUUGAGGAUUUUCUUCUUAUACUGUGUUCUAGAGUGGGUAAAAAAGCCCUAGUCUCACUAUCAGUGUUUAAGUGAACACAUCAGUGACAUCAUCUGGACUCUCCUUUGUUUUUGCUGGUUUGGAGUUAGGACAUCUAGAAGUUUUUUUCUUUUUUUCCUUUUUUUGUAUGGUUAUUGCUUGUUCUUUGUUUUGUGUCAAAUUUAACCUGUUUUCUCUUAGCAAAUCACAGCUCAUGCAGAUUUUCAAACACAUUAGCCUUGUUAUACAAAGUGUUCUUUCAUCAUUCUAUUAAAUUUCCAUUUUCAUUCCAGUUAUAGUUAUUUCUGCUGUGCCUUUGUUAAUGAAUAAGUUUAAACAGUGGAUGUUUAGCAUCACUAGCCUUCCCCUUCCAUCUCCCUUAAUCAGGACCUUGGUAUAAUUUAUCAGGUAUUUUUUAAGGUUCUAAUUUACUUAUAUAUAUUGUUUCUGUAUUCUUUUGUUUCUUUUCUUAAUAAAUUCUUAAA
ensembl:lncRNA SNHG14 small nucleolar RNA host gene 14